UCCUACGGGAGGCAGCAGUAGGGAAUCUUCCGCAAUGGACGAAAGUCUGACGGAGCAACGCCGCGUGAGUGAUGAAGGUUUUCGGAUCGUAAAGCUCUGUUGUUAGGGAAGAACAAGUGCGAGAGUAACUGCUCGCACCUUGACGGUACCUAACCAGAAAGCCACGGCUAACUACGUGCCAGCAGCCGCGGUAAUACGUAGGUGGCAAGCGUUGUCCGGAAUUAUUGGGCGUAAAGGGCUCGCAGGCGGUUUCUUAAGUCUGAUGUGAAAGCCCCCGGCUCAACCGGGGAGGGUCAUUGGAAACUGGGAAACUUGAGUGCAGAAGAGGAGAGUGGAACUCCACGUGUAGCGGUGAAAUGCGUAGAGAUGUGGAGGAACACCAGUGGCGAAGGCGACUCUCUGGUCUGUAACUGACGCUGAGGAGCGAAAGCGUGGGGAGCGAACAGGAUUAGAUACCCUGGUAGUCCACGCCGUAAACGAUGAGUGCUAAGUGUUAGGGGGUUUCCGCCCCUUAGUGCUGCAGCUAACGCAUUAAGCACUCCGCCUGGGGAGUACGGUCGCAAGACUGAAACUCAAAUGAAUUGACGGA
rnacentral:rRNA from 1 species